GGUUCGGUGGCGUAGUUGGUUAUCGCAUCUGUCUAACAUUAAUUUGGUGCACAGAAGGUCCCUGGUUCGAACCCGGGCCGAAUCA